CGAACGGGUGAGUAACGCGUGAGGAACCUGCCUCAAAGAGGGGGACAACAGUUGGAAACGACUGCUAAUACCGCAUAAGCCCACGGCUCGGCAUCGAGCAGAGGGAAAAGGAGCAAUCCGCUUUGAGAUGGCCUCGCGUCCGAUUAGCUAGUUGGUGAGGUAACGGCCCACCAAGGCGACGAUCGGUAGCCGGACUGGGAGGUUGAACGACCACAUUGGGACUGAGACACGGCCCAG
rnacentral:rRNA from 1 species